GUAGUCCACGCUGUAAACGAUGGGUACUAGGUUUGGCGGGACUUGACCCCUGCCGAGCCGGAGCUAACGCACGAAGUACCCCGCCUGGGAAGUACGGUCGCAAGACUAAAACUCAAAGGAAUUGACGGGGGCCCGCACAAGCGGUGGAUCAUGUGGUUCAAUUCGAAGCAACGCGAAAAACCUUACCUGGGUUUGACAUCCCUCGACGGUCGUAGAAAUACGAUUUCUGUAGCAAUACAGCGAGGUGACAGGUGCUGCAUGGCUGUCGUCAGCUCGUGUGGUGACAUGUUGGGUUAAGUCCCGCAACGAGCGCAACCCUUGUCCUGAGUUGCCAUCAUUCAGUUGGGCACUCUCAGGAGACUGCCGUGGUGAACACGGA
rnacentral:rRNA from 1 species